GUUUGACUUUGGCUGAACUUGAAGGUCACAUUUAUGAAACCACGCGUUUUCUGGGUUUGUGCCUGGAGUAGUAGAGCUAUAGCUCUAAAAUGCCCGUGUACCAUGAUGUUUGUUUGCGC
rnacentral:lncRNA from 1 species